rnacentral:tRNA from 1 species
GCGGUAUAAGGUCCAAAAAAGAAGCUUCUAACUUCUUUCUAAAGCGGUUUAACUCCGUUUAUAUCCUA